GUUGUUGACAGCGGGAUCGUGGAUAAUCCAGAUGUGAAUGUUGUUAGAAGUCUUAGCGUCUCGUUUUUAAAUAGUACCCCAAGCAGAAGAGAUCAUGGAACCAAAGUUGCUGGAGUCUUAAGUGGAAAAAUCAAUAAAAUAUGUGGAAUAGG